ensembl:lncRNA
AGCAGAGUUUUUAUUGGUGACCUGAGAAGGCACCUGCCUGUCAUGAUAAAACCAAGUCAUCAGAAAGUUGUUCAUAGCCUCAUAAGCCUUCUGAAAUUUGACAGCAUUUUCUUCCUCCUUAGCAACCUGAUAUUUACUUAUGUACCUACGCUUGUGGCAUUGUUUUCUCUUUUGUUUAGCAAGUUUCUGUCUCAAUGAGAGUGAGGAGUCUUUGUCUUGAGAAGCCUUAGCAAGUAAAGUUGCUUUAGAAAGGGGUUUCACUUUCUUCUUGAGAUCAGGUAGUGUGAACACUUUAAGUGUUAACCUUUUGUUGUAUUUCUUUCUUAUUUGCUUUAAUUUACUAUUAACUGCUUUGACAAAUCUCCAACGUUCCUCACUUAACAAACAAAGAUCAAAGUUGUGGUCUAGAAUAUCAAAUACAACAUACUGGAAAGCCGUUGUUAUCUUGCUGGCAAAGUUUUGAAUCUCAACCAUAACUCCAUUUGUCAAAAACUUCAAGUCACGUUUUUCUUUAGACCUCACGUUGAGGUCUAGUCCUACAUUUGUGCAGUUGGGAAAUGGAUCCCUGUACUUCGCGUAACUCACAGAACAGGUUUUCUUCACGUUGGGCUUUUUGGUUGGAGAGCAGGUUUUGAUUGAGGUUUUCAAAUUGGGCGGGAACAUGAUAAACUGCUGGUACACAGAAGGUUGAUUUGUUGAUGUCAGUGUUGAAGACUGGCUACAACCUUGUUCUGACGUGUUGGUUUUGCUUUCAACAGGGCCGUUACUUGGUGCCGUCGACAGGAUGAAAAAUGGCUCCCCUCCUGCGUUCAAAACUUUUAGUACAGGUACAGUACUAAACGGUUUCUUAAGCGGGCUGGAGGCUAUUUUUGAACCACUAAGGAUUCCACCCUCAUUUGAUUUUAGAAUAGCUGCAAUUUCACCAAAGUUGACUGCCGUUGUUUGAUGUACAUUAAGCAAUCGAGAGCCUAUCUUUGGCAGAUGAACUACAUCUACCAUCUCCCUGCUUUGAACAACUUUAACUGGAACUACCUCUUCGAUGUAACUGUCAUGUUCCAAUGUAGGUGAGAAAACAGGGCAGAGUAGGUUGUUUACAGUUUGUGUCCCUUUGAAAACUGCUUCAUUAGUUGAUUCUGUGUUACUCUCCCAUUCACUUGUUACAGACGUUUCUGACAGCAGACCUAGAGCCUGUCCUUCAGCUUCAUGGCAAUUCAGUGCAUAUGGGUGAUCUAGUUGAAGGCUUAAAAGCGGUAGAGAUGGUUGGAAAAUAUUUUUCUCAACUUGUUCAUCUGAUACGGCCAUAUCACAACAAAACCAAAUCGAUGACUUGUGGAGAAGAGGGUAAUGUAAAGCAUGUCACCUUUACUGAACCAUUUUGUGUGUGCCAACAAUUAAUAAUAGGCCUCAAUAAAAACGAUUUCAAGUCGGGGGGAGUUAAUAAUAACAAUGAAGACAAGAUUUACAGAAAAGCGACCAAGCAAUAAAAAGGUUUCACAAUAAGAUGACCAUUAGGCUGCAGCAAGUAAGGAACAACCUGAUAUUUUACAUCUUAAGCAAGGACUCCAGCACAUCAAGUUCCAUCGAGCUGGGAGAAUGAAAACAUAGUAGGGGUUUACGCGGCCUCCGACCAGACAUGAGUUUGAUCGCAAGGAUACAACAAAGAUAAUAUUGAUGAAUACCAGCUCUGUCUGUGAAAUGGUCGUACAAUCAAAUUGGAUUGUAUGCAUGUUUCAUGAAUGAGGCCCAUUGUCACAAUAACAAUUACACGGUUGUAUAUCCAAUAAAAUAUUUAAUGGACCAAUUUCAUGAAUUUAUGCAAUAUCAUCAUUUUCUUCCGCUUAUCCGGGGCUGGGUCGCGGGGGCAGCAGUCUAAGCAGAGAUGCCCAGACUUCCCUCUCCCCAGACACUUCCUCUAGCUCUUCCGGGGGGACACCGAGGCGUUCCCAGGCCAGCCGGGAGACAUAGUCCCUCCAGCGUGUCCUAGGUCUUCUCCGGGGUCUCCUCCCGAUGGGACGGGACCGGAACACCUUCCCAGGAAGGCGUUCCGGAGGCAUCCGAAACAGAUGCCCAAGCCACCUCAGCUGACCACUCUCGAUGGCUCUACUCUGAGCUCCUCCCGGGUGACCGAGCUUCUCAUCCUAUCUCUAAGGGUUCGCCCAGCCACCCUGCGGAGAAAGCUCAUUUCGGCCGCCUGUAUCCGGGAUCUUGUCCUUUCGGUCAUGACCCAAAGCUUAUGACCAUAGGUGAGAAUAGGAACGUAGAUUGACCGGUAAAUCGACCGCAUUAUUGCAGAAGCUGCACCGAUCCGUCUGUCAAUCUCCCGUUCCAUCCUUCCCUCCUUCGGGAACAAGACCCCUAGAUACUUAAACUCCUCCACUUGAGGCAGGCAAUAUAACUAUUAAAGGGAUAUUAUAACUAUUAAAGGGAUAGAUUGACCUAGAUUCAUAAUUGGUUGAAAUUACAAUUACCCUGAGAUUUUCUUGAAGGCCCAUGGGGUCAUUUUUCAGGUCAAACAAUCCCUUUAAUAUUUAAAUAACAUUGUUUCACAAUAUCCUUUCACCCACAAAUGAUUUUGUCUACAUACAAACGUGCAAUCUAAAAUGCAGACGUUAUAUUGGGACACAUUUUCUAUCAGAUACAUUUUAUUGCUCAAAUUGAAAAGCCCCAUAUCAAAUACCGGUAGAUAAAAUUCUUCACAGUUCCCUCAACUUCUCAACUUAAUGUGAGUUAAAAAAAAAAAUAUUCUAGUAAUGUGUCUUCUAAGUCGCUGUGAAAUAUCUUCAAAAUGUCAAUAAAUGGCUUUUAUCCCAAAGUAGCUUUUAGAAUUUUGAGUAGAGCUAAAUUAAACCCACUAGGCACACAGUCAUAGUUUUCAAUCUGGAAUUAGAAUUGAAAAGAGUGGUGUUCCUGAAACAGUUUCUCUUUGGCAAAUGUAAAAAAAUAAAAUGCCUUUAGUGGUGUGCAGGAACUCUUUGCAACUGCUUGAGGAUGCUGUUCCAAAGACAUUCUCUUGAACCUGACUUAAGGUUUUGUCAGACAAGGUUUGUAACUGAAUGUGGAUUUCUUGCCUUGACUCCAUGUGGCAGCUUGGGGUGUGUGAGCCACAGGACCGGAGUGUGUGUUCAUUCCAGCACAGAGAUUCCAGUGUAGACGUCCUUGUUGAGCGAGCAGCAUGAUAAGAACCACAACGGAAUUGGAUGUGCUUCACCAGACGCUGAGUCCAGUGGGAGUUGCUG